rnacentral:rRNA from 1 species
UACGGAGGGUGCAGGCGUUAUCCGGAUUCACUGGGUUUAAAGGGUGCGUAGGUGGAUUAGUAAGUCAGUGGUGAAAUCUCCGGGCUUAACCCGGAAACUGCCAUUGAUACUAUUAGUCUUGAAUACCGUGGAGGUCAGCGGAAUAUGUCAUGUAGCGGUGAAAUGCUUAGAUAUGACAUAGAACACCAAUUGCGAAGGCAGCUGGCUACACGAGCAUUGACACUCAGGCACGAAAGCGUGGGGAUCAAACAGG